UACGUAGGGUGCGAGCGUUGUCCGGAAUUACUGGGCGUAAAGAGCUCGUAGGCGGCUUGUCGCGUUGUUCGUGAAAAUUUACCGCUCAACGGUGAACUUGCGGGCGAUACGGGCAGGCUAGAGUACUGCAGGGGAGACUGGAAUUCCUGGUGUAGCGGUGAAAUGCGCAGAUAUCAGGAGGAACACCGAUUGCGAAGGCAGCUCGCUGGGACGUGACUGACGCUGAGACGCGAAAGCGUGGGGAGCAAACAGG
rnacentral:rRNA from 1 species